UAUAAAAUCCCCUCAAAUGCAUCACAAAAGGCAGAGAAAGAUAGGAUAAAAAAUUAGCCUCUAGAGCUAAAGGGAGGGGAGCUAUACACUCCAUAUACAUUCUGCAUACAGAAGAUAUACAGGGACAGAACCACAAGACCCAUAUCACUAUUCAUCAUCUUCCUCUUCUUUUUGAACCUCUAAAAAUCCAAAACCAAAACCACUCGUCCCCAUACCCACGACGAACAACACUCCGUCGAACCAGCCUGCUUCACGAACCAGUUCACUGCCAGCUUCCUCCCCUGUCGGUCACCCUCACAGCAGCGACAACGCCAGCUUGCCACGUCCAAGCGUCCAUCGUUGUUAGCUUCAAAACCAGUUGGGUAGGAUCAUCAUUCUCGUCAAAAAAAAAGUAACGUGAAACAGUUCCUCAACUCAGCCCUGAGUUCGUCGAGGUCAUUUCCGUCGAGGUUUCCAUUUUGGUCCAGUGAUUACUGUCUUUUUUGUGUGUGAACAUUCAAUGUAAGACUCACAUUCUUUCAUUGGAAUUGUUCUACUUACAUGUUUCUGUCUAUAUAUUUUGCUUCUUCAGUAACUUGUGUGAAGAUUAAUGUUUCUUUGAUUAUUUGUUUUGAUUUAGACACUAAUCCAUUAAGAGUGUGAAUCCAGCUCAUUUUCUGUUUCUCUUGUAUAGCCCAUUUUGAAGAAAGAAAAAGAGCAUCCAACAAAUUUGGAAAUAGGUAUCAUAAUGUAGUAACUGUGUUUGGUUAUUAUGUUAAAACUGAUUCGACGGAGUUUCAUACCCUUUCAUUCAGUUUAUUUCAAAUGGAUCUGUAUUCUAUUUAAUCAGAAGAAACGAAAUGAGAAAAGUUUUACUCUUCGGACAUGGUUGCAGCGACAGUUAUGCCCAUGUGAUUAUUUACUUGUUGUUUUUCUACAAUUGAAUAAAGCCAUAAUAUCCCUAUAGCCCAUGUGAUUAUUUUGCUUGUUGUUUUUUUUAGGGAUAUAUAUAUAGCAAACCUUAUUACCUCCCAUGUUUAAGGUUUGUGUUUAUUGCAUUUAAGCAUACCAAAUUUUAAUUUAUGUAUCAUAAUUCAAAUUAAGGGUAUAAUUAUUGCUUCAUUUAUUCUAGGCAUGAUUUUAGGAGCAUAUAUUUCUUUUUCCUUUUUUUCCUCUACUCUUUCCAAACGUGAUUUUUUAUUUUUUUAUUUUUUUGAAAUUUUAAAAUUCUUAUUUCCAAACGGAUACUAAACAAGGAAUAACUUUUUUUGGUUUAAAAAGAAUAGUUGAAGAUCCUAAAGGUAUUUGAGAUCGAAGGUUCUCGAAAAAACAAAAAGAAAAAAGAUUAAAGAAGAGAAAAUAAGUACCGACAGACAUAAAUUCGCACAUAUUUUUCUAAAAUACUUUCAAAAGCUAGAAUAUCUUAAAAUAUGAUACUAACAACAACAAAAAACAGGAAUGGAGACAACUAAUUUUGGGGGCCUAAAUCCAGAGCCCAGAAUUUUGGGAUCCAGUUACUUUUUGGAGAAGAUGAUAGAUAGGAUUCUAGCGCCACAAUCAAACACAAACUAUUAUGCUUAAAUUUUAUUGACACAAGAUUGUAGUAUAAAUGUAACAAUACAAUUAAACUACAAUUUACAAUUUAUCUAC
rnacentral:lncRNA from 1 species